rnacentral:rRNA from 1 species
UGUUUAUAUAUUUAUUUUUGUGAAUAAUUUUAUUUGUUAAAAAAAUAUUUGCUUGUUAUUGUAUUAAUUUUAGAAAUAAUUUAAUUUGUUAUAGUUUAUUUGUACUUUGAAGGAUUAUUGAAAUAUAUUUUUAUACUUAUAAAAGUUGUUUUUAUUUAAUUGUACCUUGUGUAUCAGGGUUUAUUAAAAAUUAAUAUUUAUAUUAUAUUUCCCGAUUUUAAAAGAGUUACAUAAUUUUAUUAGUUAAUGUUAAAUAAUUAUUAAUAAUAAUUUUGUGGUGGUGAAACAUUAAACGGUUUUAAUGGUAUCUGGUUAUUUAAGAAAUGAAUUUAAUUCAGGUAAUACUUAUUUAUAUUUUUAUUUUUUAGUUUAUAUUAAGUUAUAUACUAAUAUUCUGGGGGAUAAGCUUUGGAGUAGAUUUUUCAAUAAAUUAUUAUUUAUAGUGAGUAAAUUAGAUUUAGAAGUGAUUAUUAAUUGGGGAUGUUAAAGUUUUACUUAUUUAUUAAUUUAUUUAUGUUUUUUUUGUUAUUUUAUUAAAAGUUAUUAAUUAAUUAUUAAUUAAUUGACAUUAUGAUAUAAUUAGUAUAAAUUUAUAGAAUAUGUUUGUUUAUGGUUAAUAAGAAAUUUAUUAGGAAUUAGGCAAUAAUAUGUUCGCCUGUUUAACAAAAACAUCUCUUUCCGGUUGUUUGGAAAGUAUAACCUGCCCACUGAAUUAUUGUUGAAGGGCCGCGGUAUUUUGACCGUGCAAAGGUAGCAUAAUCAUUAGUCUCUUAAUUAGAGGCUGGAAUGAAUGGUUGGACGAGAUAUAUACUGUCUUAUAUUUUAUUUUAGAAUUUAAUUAUUAAGUUAAAAAGCUUAAAUUUGUUUAUGGGACGAGAAGACCCUAUAGAGUUUAAUAUAUUUAUUUGUUUAUACUGUUUGUUUAUUUUAAUAUAAUUGAAUUUAUUUUGUUGGGGUGAUAGGAAGAUAAAUAUAACUCUUCUUUAUGUUUAUUAUUUAUUUGUAUUUAUUUGAUCCAUUAUUAGUGAUUAUAAGACUUAAUUACCUUAGGGAUAACAGCGUAAUCUUUUUUGAGAGUUCUUAUCGACAAAAGGGAUUGCGACCUCGAUGUUGGAUUAAGAUAAACGUUAGGUGUAGAAGUUUAAAAUGUUGGGUCUGUUCGACCUUUAAAAUCUUACAUGAUCUGAGUUCAAACCGGCGUGAGCCAGGUUGGUUUCUAUCUAUAAUUAAUUGUGAUAUUUUAGUACGAAAGGACCAAAUAUUGGGAAUAAUUUUAUUGUUAUUGAAUUUUAUUAAUUU